AUGAGUUUAUUGUAUCUUCCCAACAGACCAAAUAAACACAACAAAAGGAUCAGCAGGUUUAAACGUCGCAUCACAAAACUGAGAAAGCAUCAUGAUGCAUGCGCCAGGAGACUAUCAGCUAGACAGAAGGCAAAGGUAACCUCAAGUACUGGCCCCGUUAUGCCACACCAGGUCCCAGAUGAUGAGGUCCCAUCUCCCCUCAAGCAGGACAUCCUUGACUUACAGCUGAUUUGUAGAGAACGAUCCUUGGAGGAUUCAAAGGCAAAUAUGGAAAUUUCCGUGCCUUCAGAUGUUACCAAGCACCUAGCCAAACAGUCACUGUCUACAAAGAAAUCGGUGGACACGGAGAGUGAUACAGAUACAGUAAUUCUAGAAUUGCCCAGUUCUUCUGUAUCACCAAGAGCCUGUGAUAUCCCAGAGCUAAAGAGGACUGACAGUGUAUUUCUUACCAAGAAAUCAUUGAACUUCAGUUCCACUUCAGAUGACUCGAUAAGCAGCAUUGACAACAGUGAAGAAUCUGAAGAGAACCUUCCACAGCCUUUGUCCAGUCCCUCAUCUCCCAAUGUGGCAUUAGAUGGGGAUGUUGAUACUUCCUCAUCCAUGAAUGCAGACAAAGAAUGUUCCCCACUUGAAGAUAAGGAGAAAACUACUCAUUCAGACAAUGAUUGUAGUAGUGAGGUUUCCGUAAUGAAACUGAAAAAGACUGCAUAUGGCCAAAGAAUGUACAACAAAAAGCAGUAUUGCUUUUACUGCUCCAAACCAUUCUGCAAAAUGGCAAGACACUUGGCCCAAGUUUAUAAGAAUGAGGUGGACGUAGCAAAAGCUCUUUCUUUUCCAAAGGGAUCUAAAGAAAGGAGGAUUAAUCUGGAUCUUUUGAGGAAUAAAGGGAACCGUGAACACAACACAAAUGUUCUGAAAUGUGGCAAAGGAGUGUUGGUGCCACGUCAACAAUCCACUGCUAAACAUGUGAGUGUUAAGGACUACAUGCACUGUUUGAACUGCCAAGGGCUGUUCCGACGAAAAGCACUUUGGAGGCAUAUGUCAAGGUGCAACCUGGCCAAGAAGUGCCAGGUCACAAAACCAGGUAGAUCCAGAGUUCAAGCACUCUGUGCUUAUGCACAGCCUGUUCCUGAAGGAGUAACUAACAAAUUAUGGAAACUGAUCAGUGACAUGAAGCAAGAUGAAGUAACAUAUGCAGUUAAAAGUGAUGCAUGCAUCAUCAAAUUUGGGGAACACUUGUGCAACAAAAUGGGUAGCGACAAAACCAAGCACGAAUACAUCAGAACUAAAAUGCGUGAGGCUGGAAGGCUGUUGGUGUGUGCUAGGAAAGUGGGAAAGCUGCAGAGUAUUAAAGACUUCUUCAUACCCACAAACUUCUAUCACGUCAUCAAGGCUGUUAAAGAUACCUCGGGAUUCCGAGAAGAAGAUGAGGUCUUCGCAAUUCCAUCUUUGGCAUUAAAACUGGGGCACAACCUUAAAAAAAUGGCCGAUAUUGCAGAAUGUGAAGCAAUGAUUGCAGGAGAGGAAAAAGAUGUCCGAAAUGUAAAAAUGUUUAAGCAAAUGUAUACCACAAAAUGGAAUGAAUUUGUGUCCUCCUCAGCCUUGAAGACGCUUAAUGAAGCGAAAUGGAACUCUCCAGAACUUCUCCCUUUCACUGAGGAU
ensembl:lncRNA